GCUCCCAGUGCCCAAUCCCAUCACUCCCGUCACUCCCAGUCGCUCCCAGCGCUCCCAGUGCCCCCAGUGCUCCCAGUUACUGGUUCCCCCAUUCCAUUCCCAUCAUACCCAGUCUCUCCCAGUCCCUCCCAGUGCUCCCAGUGCUCCCAGUUACCGACGAUGCGCAGGCGCAUCUCGGCCGUGUCCUCCAUGCCCUCGAUGCGCACGCUCAGCCCAGUGCUCCCAGUGCCAAUCCCAGUGCUCCCAGUGCCAAUCCCAUCGCUCCCAGUGCCAAUCCCAGUGCCCCCAGUGCUCCCAGUGCGCCCAGUUACCGACGAUGCGCAGGCGCAUCUCGGCCGUGUCCUCCAUGCCCUCGAUGCGCACGCUCAGCCCAGUGCUCCCAGUGCCAAUCCCAGUGCUCCCAGUGCCAAUCCCAUCGCUCCCAGUGCCCAAUCCCAGUGUUCCCAGUGGUCCCAGUGCCCAAUCCCAUCACUCCCAGUUCUCCCAGUGCUCCCAGUUACCGACGAUGCGCAGGCGCAUCUCGGCCGUGUCCUCCAUGCCCUCGAUGCGCACGCUCAGCCCAGUGCUCCCAGUGCCAAUCCCAGUGCUCCCAGUGCUCCCAGUUUGCCCAGUUACUAUGAAGAAGGGAAAACAGAGAGAAAUCUCCAAGGAAAGCCUAAAACAGGAAAUUAAGAAAGCCCCUUUAACGGUGCACAUGGAUUGGGAAGGAGGGAAGGCAGGACUCAGCACAUAAAGCUCUUUCAUGAAAAUGGCAACAGGCUUGUGUAAAGAACAAAAACACAGCUUGUGCUGGGAAUGGCAGAAUGGGGUGUCGCGGUCCGACGUGCGCACGUGCACGUCCUCGCCCAGCGGCGCGCCCUCCUUCGUCCACGUCACCUGGGGGCGGGGCUUACCCUGCGGGGGGCGGGGCUUGUUAGGGCUCAGUUCCCCCUAUGGGGCUGAAUC
rnacentral:lncRNA from 12 species